GCCUGACCUUGAGCAUCUCCAGUGCCUGGACACCCAUUACCUCUGGGCAACCUGUUCCAGUGCCUCGCCAAUUUUACCAUAUAGAACUUUGUUCUUAUUUCCAGUAUAAAUCUCCCCUUUUAGUUUGAAACAGUUUUCCCUUGUCCUGUUACAACAGGCCAUGUCCCACUCUUUUUUACAGCCUCCCUUUAGAUACCGAAAGGCUGCUCAGAGAUCUCCCCAGAGCCUUCUCCAGGCUAAACAGCCCCAGCCCCCUCAGCCUGUCCUUGAACCAAGGGAGAGGUGUUCUAUCCCUUGGAUUACUCAUGGCCCUCCUCUGGACAUGCUCCAACAGGUCCUUGGCUAUCCUAUAGUAAGGGCUCCACAUGUGAACACAUUGCUUCAGGUACUGGAAGAGGAGAAGCUAAAUUUCAUUUGAUGAUGUUAUGAAAGCCAAAGUUUUAGUUCUGAAUAGCAAAGCUUUCUAUUUCCCUGGCUCCUAACAAAGCAUGAGAACAGGACACAGUCCAGUGAAAUUUCCAUCCUUGAGGACAGCAAGCUAGACAGCUGACCUGGCUUAAUGCUGGCAAGUGUCCUGCUGCGAGCAGGAGGUUGGAUGAGAAAACCUCAAGAGAGCCCUUCCAAACAACAUCCCAACAGUCCUACAGUGGUGUGCAUGCAAUGAGUGUUACAUUUGGAUUGGCUUCUGGUGUCUGAAAAAGACUGAGAGUGGAUGAUCUCCUGCAUGAUUGCCAAGUUAGUAAAAUUCUUGAUCUUGGUAAAAUAGAAAUGCUUGAUUUAUUAUAGUUUUCUGUAUGUUAUAUUAGGAGAUGAAUUAUUCAGUUUUUCAUAUUUGCUAACUCCAAUAUUAUGUAGAAGGAGAUGCUGAAGCAGUUCAUGAAUAGGUCACAGUCAUUAACCCAGUUUUACAGAUGACCAAUUUGUGUUCUCGUUACAAAUGAUAGUUAGUCCUUUUCUGGAUUUUGGCAUUCUUCUUUCCCUUAGGAAAAAGAAAAAAAAACAAAACAAAAAGAACUGAAGGGAAAUUGCAGAUAAGCACAGGCACUCUGAUCUGUAACUCUUUAUCUUAUCUUUUGUCCAGGCCUUUUGAAGAGUACUAGCUUGACAAAAGGAGCCUGAGAUGAGAAAGAAACCUCUGACUCAUUUUAUUAUCAAUACCUUUACUGGAACUGGGAAGGCUUUUUUUUUUUUUUUUUUUUUUUUUGUCACAGGGAAAAGCUAGAGUGAGAAAGUACAAACCUCCAUCUUACAUACUAUGUAGAGCAUGGCUAAUAUGAUGCUAACAUUUUUACAUAUAUACCACGCUUUACUGCUAAUUAGGGCCAGGCAGAAGGAAUUAAGGGAGCCAUUUUCUACCCAGAAGUGUAAUCACAUCCAAAUCAGUGUUUAGCAUAUAGAUAUUUCAUUGAAUUUUGUUUGACUAAAGCAGCUCUCCAUGGGUUGUGAUAAGGUCUAAAUGUCUAGAUGUUCUACUGUUUUCUGAUAUUUUUUUUUCAGUGCAUUUUUUCAGUGCACAUUAUUAUAUAGUAUGUAAAAUGAUCACGUGGCAAUUACCCUUGAAAUAAAACAUUCACCUGAAAAUA
ensembl:lncRNA